UCUCACAUGAUCCUUCAGAAAUCAUUCUAAUACGCUGAUUUGGUGCUCAAGAAGCAUUUCCUGUUGUAACGUGAUACAUUUCCCCCCCCCCAGUAUUCUUUGAUAAAUAGAAAGAACAUCAUUUAUUUGAAAUAGUCAAUCUAAGAACUAAGAAAAACACAAAGUUCAUAAAAAUAAUAUGCUUUAAUUGUCAUUGUAUUGAGCAUACAGAAGUGAAGCUUAAUGUUUAAUCAUUUAAUUGGAAUCAUCCAUAUGUGAUGCUGUAUUUUUGAUGGUUUGCGAGCAUCAUAUUUGAAGAUGAAUCAAAAUAAUCAAAUUCAUGUCAAAAAUGAUUAAACUUGCUCUGCAAGUAAAUCACAUUUGUGUCAAAUUCAAAAAGACUCAAUAAGUCUUAUUAUCGGGCCCUCGCUGUCAGAUCUGACACAUUGAUUUAAACAUUCAUUUUCAUUGCUACUGCCUGAUUCUUCGCUACUUAAAUUAAACCUUUAUGAUAUGUGAAACAGAAGCAGCAGCUUUGUAUUAUAAGCUUGUAAAAUUCAUUAAGUGCACUAAAACACACCUUUGUAAUAUUUACUUUUAACAGUAUGUAAAGUCGUACCUCAUAAAGUUUAAAAAUACAUUUUGUGUAUUUACACAAUUAGAUUCACAACUGAUGUUUUUACGAUGUUUUAUAGACAACUAGUGAAAGAAAAACUUGAUUCCUACAAAAAAAGUCAGACAUGAGAAGAAAAAAAUUGCCUGAAUCUGAAUACCUUCAUGAAUUUAAAGGGAUAGUUCAUUGUGAUGACAGGUCAGCUGAGAACAGAUGAAUGAUAUCAAGGCCACUGGAAUUAGUUUUCUCUGUGAACGCAUGUCCCAACAGUGGAGACACUGAGUAACGGGACAUUGCUCAGUAAAACACACCCAUGACAGCACUUGAUGUAAAUAAGUCUGAAGGACAAUUGCGCAUUACCUGUCGGCUUAAGUGAAAGAAAA